rnacentral:rRNA from 1 species
UACGUAGGCAGCGAGCGUUGUUCAGAGUUACUGGGCGUAAAGAGUGCGUAGGCGGUUUUCUAAGUUUGGUGUGAAAUCUCCCGGCUUAACUGGGAGGGUGCGCCGAAGGCUGGAAGGCUUGAGUAUGGGAGAGGUAAGCGGAAUUCCUGGUGUAGCGGUGAAAUGCGUAGAUAUCAGGAGGAACACCUGCGGUGUAGACGGCUUACUGGACCAUCACUGACGCUGAGGCACGAAAGCGUGGGUAGCAAACAGG